rnacentral:rRNA from 1 species
UACGUACGAGGCGAGCGUUAUCCGGAAUUACUGGGCGUAAAGCGCGCGCAGGUGGUGCGUUAAGUAGGGCGUGAAAUCUCCCGGCCUAACUGGGAGGGGUCGCCCUAGACUGGCGGACUUGAGGACUGCAGAGGUGGGUGGAAUUCCGGGUGUAGCGGCGGAAUGCGUAGAGAUCCGGAAGAACACCAGUGGCGAAGGCGGCCCGCUGGGCAGUGGCUGACGCUGAGGCGCGACAGCGUGGGGAGCAAACAGG